rnacentral:rRNA from 1 species
CGAGCGGACAGAUGGGAGCUUGCUCCCUGAUGUCAGCGGCGGACGGGUGAGUAACACGUGGGUAACCUGCCUGUAAGACUGGGAUAACUCCGGGAAACCGGGGCUAAUACCGGAUGCUUGAUUGAACCGCAUGGUUCAAUUAUAAAAGGUGGCUUUUAGCUACCACUUACAGAUGGACCCGCGGCGCAUUAGCUAGUUGGUGAGGUAACGGCUCACCAAGGCAACGAUGCGUAGCCAACCUGAGAGGGUGAUCGGCCACACUGGGACUGAAACACGGCCCAAACUCCUACGGGAGGCAGCAGUAGGGAAUCUUCCGCAAUGGACGAAAGUCUGACGGAGCAACGCCGCGUGAGUGAUGAAGGUUUUCGGAUCGUAAAACUCUGUUGUUAGGGAAAAACAAGUACCGUUCGAAUAGGGCGGUACCUUGACGGUACCUAACCAGAAAGCCACGGCUAACUACGUGCCAGCAGCCGCGGUAAUACGUAGGUGGCAAGCGUUGUCCGGAAUUAUUGGGCGUAAAGCGCGCGCAGGCGGUUUCUUAAGUCUGAUGUGAAAGCCCCCGGCUCAACCGGGGAGGGUCAUUGGAAACUGGGGAACUUGAGUGCAGAAGAGGAGAGUGGAAUUCCACGUGUAGCGGUGAAAUGCGUAGAGAUGUGGAGGAACACCAGUGGCGAAGGCGACUCUCUGGUCUGUAACUGACGCUGAGGCGCGAAAGCGUGGGGAGCGAACAGGAUUAGAUACCCUGGUAGUCCACGCCGUAAACGAUGAGUGCUAAGUGUU